rnacentral:rRNA from 1 species
CUAGAUUUGGCAUGGGCGGCAGUCCUGAUCAGCCAUGCCGCGUGCAGUGAUGAAGGCCUUCGGGUUGUAAAGCUCUUUUUGCCGGGAAGAAAACCUCCGUUUUCAUACGGGGUUGAGCGGACCGUACCAAUCCAGAUCGCCCCACUCCAUGCCAUCCCCCCCGCUACUAUAAUA